rnacentral:rRNA from 1 species
AUUGAACGCUGGCGGCAGGCCUAACACAUGCAAGUCGAACGAGUGGCGGACGGGUGAGUAAUGUCUGGGAAACUGCCUGAUGGAGGGGGAUAACUACUGGAAACGGUAGCUAAUACCGCAUACCCUCGGAUGUGCCCAGAUUGGAUUAGCUAGUCGGUGGGGUAACGGCUCACCUAGGCGACGAUCCCUAGCUGGUCUGAGAGGCGGACCAGCAACACUGGAACUGAGACACGGUCCAGACUCCUACGGGAGGAAGCAGUGGGGAAGAGUGGACAAUGGGCGCAAGCCUGAUGCAGCCAUGCCGCGUGUAUGAAGAAGGCCUUCGGGUUGUAAAGUACUUUCAGCGGGGAGGCGGUACCCGCAGAAGAAGCACCGGCUAACUCCGUGCCAGCAGCCGCGGUAAUAC